CGGGGCCGGAAUUAUCCAGGGCGCCUGCACGGUCGAACAGAACUGUAAAAAAAAGAAAAUUGCUGUCCAGCUUCUGUUCCAUCUUUCUGUGCAUCUGCUGCUGGACAUCAUUGAGAAUGAUUUGGAGGUACUUUAGCCGCUUAAAGCUGCUUGCAAGAUCAAGGAUUUUAAUUCCCAGUCUUGAGACUGAGUCAUUGAGAAUUGCUCACUGAAGUCACCAAUGGUGAGUGAAACCUUCACAACUUCAUCAUUUGCCCCAGCAAAAGUAAAAAUAACAGAGAACAAAAGAAAUAAAAAUUGUAGAAGGCAAUUCGCACUGGUUGUAUAGAUCAUAUGAGAGUAAGGACGCAAUACAGUCUAAUGGAGUAAUCCACUGACUCAAGACUCAAGGUAACUUUAUU
rnacentral:lncRNA from 1 species